GGUGAACGCUGGCGGCGUGCCUAAUACAUGCGAGUCGAGCGAACGGACGAGAAGCUUGCUUCUCUGAUGUUAGCGGCGGACGGGUGAGUAACACGUGGAUAACCUACCUAUAAGACUGGGAUAACUUCGGGAAACCGGAGCUAAUACCGGAUAAUAUUUUGAACCGCAUGGUUCAAAAGUGAAAGACGGUCUUGCUGUCACUUAUAGAUGGAUCCGCGCUGCAUUAGCUAGUUGGUAAGGUAACGGCUUACCAAGGCAACGAUGCAUAGCCGACCUGAGAGGGUGAUCGGCCACACUGGAACUGAGACACGGUCCAGACUCCUACGGGAGGCAGCAGUAGGGAAUCUUCCGCAAUGGGCGAAAGCCUGACGGAGCAACGCCGCGUGAGUGAUGAAGGUCUUCGGAUCGUAAAACUCUGUUAUUAGGGAAGAACAUAUGUGUAAGUAACUGUGCACAUCUUGACGGUACCUAAUCAGAAAGCCACGGCUAACUACGUG
rnacentral:rRNA from 1 species